rnacentral:rRNA from 1 species
UACGGAGGGGGCUAGCGUUGUUCGGAAUUACUGGGCGUAAAGGGCGCGUAGGCGGUUCGGUAAGUUAGGCGUGAAAGGCCCGGGCUCAACCCGGGAACUGCGCUUAAGACUGCCGGGCUGUGAGUCCGGGAGAGGAUGGCGGAAUUCCCAGUGUAGAGGUGAAAUUCGUAGAUAUUGGGAAGAACACCAGUGGCGAAGGCGGCCAUCUGGCCCGGUACUGACGCUGAGGCGCGAAAGCGUGGGGAGCAAACAGG